AUGGAGACUGAUGGAGGGAGGAGAUAGGAAGGACGUUUAGAGAAGUCCGACAUUCCUGGUUCAUCAGUGAAGAACGAAGAAAGACAGAGUUAAACCUUCAGAGCCUCAACAUGAAAACGCUUCAUGUCUUUUUCUGCUUCUGCUUCAUCUAAGAUACCGGAUCACAGUUUAUAUCGGAUCAUCCACGUUUAGAACUCAUCUUACAGGAAACACAAGUAAGAAGAGAAGCACCAGUCAGUGACAUGUUCAAAUGCUUUGUUGUUCAAAAUGUGGGUCAUCUCAUACAAAUGGUUCUGAAGUGAACACAGCGUCAAGGUAAAGCUGAAAUUCUGGACAUGUUCCAUUCAUUUUUAAAGAACUAGUCCAGAAAUGACAAAUGUUUCUUUAAAACAUCACAAAGAGACUCGUCCUUCAAUAAUCAUACAGUAUUAGUAUCAGUG
rnacentral:lncRNA from 1 species